CAGCUUCCGAUUGGCUGCAGGAAGCUCCUGCAGCCAAUUGGAAGCCACGUAAGCUGCAUCAGACAUUUGGGUUCCAAAGAACGUCCGCAAACUUCCAGGUUUCCGGCAUUUGGGAGCCAAAACAUUUGACUUGCAAGGCAUUCAGGAUCCAAGGUACGACUGUAUAAGAACUAGUGGCUGAGCUUUCAUUUCCCACCCCCUCCUCCCGCCCCAUCCCUUUUUCCUUGUGUGUUGUGUCUUUUAGACUAAACCCGAGGGCAGGCACUAUCUCGAAACUAAUUUUCGUGAGCUGCCCUUGGAGUCUUUUCAGCUAAAGAGCAGGGUAAAGAGAUAAGCUCUGUGGUUAACCCCUCAGAAAAUGACCCACCUUAUAAUCAUGCUACACUUUGGGCCCCUUUGUCCUUCACUCAUGUGCAGGGCACAAGCGUUUAUUUAUUUAUUUGCACAUUGAAUUUCUAUCCCACCCUUCCUCCCAAAGGAGUUCAGGGUGCCAUACCCACCCACAAUCUAAAGCUUUCUUCUUUUUUUUUAAUAUAAUUUUUAUUAAAUUUUCAGUAUACAUUCCACCAAAAUUUAACAUCCAUUUCUAUCAUCUACAUCUUUUAGACUUCCCUCAGCAUGUCUGACAAUUUUCCGUAUUAUCACUUUUACUCACAUUUCUCAAUUUUAUAUUGCACUCUAACAAUCUUAAUCUUAUCAUAUAUUUUUUAAGCAAUAUUUCUACCAAUUAUUUUCACAGAGCUUCUUGAAAACCAACAAACGUUAAUUGCUCCUCACAUACAUUUUUGAUAUACUCUGUAAAUUUAUUCCAGUCCUCGGUGAAUCUCUGGUCUCGUCGGUUCCGGAUUCUCCCUGUUAAUUUGUCCAUUUCUGCGUAUUCCAUCAAUUUCAUUCUCCAUUCUUCCCUCGUAGGCAUUUCUUCCUGUUUCCACUUCUGGGCCAACAAAAUUCUAGCUGCUGUUACUGCAUACAAAAAUAACUUAUCAUCCUUCUUUUUAAUUUCAUAACCUAAUAUUCCCAACAAAAAUGUUUCUGGUUUCUUAACAAAAGUGUACUUCAACAUUUUCUUCAACUCAUUAUAAAUCAUUUCCCAGAAACAUUUCACUUUUUUACAUUCCCACCACAUAUGAUAAAAUGUUCCUUCUUUUUCCUGACAUUUCCAACACUUAUUACUAACUUUAUACAUCUUACCAAGCUUUACUGGUGUUACAUACCAUCUAUGUAUCAUUUUCAUAACAUUUUCCUUUAUUGCAGUGCAUGCAGUAAAUUUCAUUCCUUCCUUCCACAGUUUUAUCCAAUCAUUAAAUUGAAUAUUAUAACCAAAGUCUUUGGCCCAUUGAAUCAUAGCCGUUUUGACUUCUUCAUCUCACAGUCUAAAGCUUUCUAAAGUGGGUAAAACACCAUAAGUGGAGCCAUUGCUCAGUGGAAACAAGCACAAGCUUAGCAUACAAGUUAUUUUGUCACUGCCUGUGGUCUACCUAGAGAAAGAGGCCCAAAGCUGAAAUGGUACAGUGCUAGGGCUAAAUCAGAGUGACUGGAAUUGGAAGGGGCCACUAGGAUCAUCUAGUCCAACCCCCUGCAAUGCAGGAAUCUUUCACCCAACGUGGGGCUUGAACUCACAACCCUGAGAUUAAGGACUUGGCUACAUUGGUAAAGAUAAAGUGCUUUAUAUGCGUUAAAACACCGUGACACCAAAUAGCACUAUGGAGUCCCAUCUUUCUUUCUUUCUUUCUUUCUUAACCAUUCAGUAUUCCAUUAUUACAUCCAACAAAACUUAUUUACACAGUUCAAUUUAUCUUAAUGCUGCCCACCUUUUCAAAUAUACACAAUUCCCCCCCCCCAAUAUAUUCAAUAAACAUUUUCCAAUCUUCUUUAAAUGUAUGUUCUUCUUCUUCUCUUAUUCUUUAUGUUAGGUCUGCAAGCUGUGCAUAUUCCAUCAGUUUAAGUUGUCAUUCUUCUUUAGUUGGGACUUCGCUCGAUUUCCAUUUUGGGGCUAACAAAACACGGGCCGCAGUAGUGGCAUACAUAAAUAACCUUAUUUGACACCUGGGAAUUUCCGUCUGAAUUAUCCCCAACAAAAAGGAAUCUGGUUUUUUUUGGGGGGGGGGUUGGGAAAAGUAUUUUUAAACAUUUUUUUAAAUUCAUUAUGAAUUAUUUCCCAAUACUCUUACCCUUUUACAGGUCCACCACAUAUGAUAGAAUGUACCCUCAGUCUCAUUGCAUCUCCAGCACUUAUCUGAUUCAGUCUUAUACAUCUUAGUAAGUUAGAUACCAUCUGUAAAUCAUUUUCAGGUAGUUCUCCUCCAAGGAAUAACAAGCUGCAAACUUCAGAUCGCUCUUCCAAAAUGUGUCUAGAUCCAGCCUAAGAAUCUCAUGCUCUACCGACUGAGCUCUCUUGCAGAACUCUAAAUCAGAGUGAUUGGCGCCAAAAAGGACACAUUGCCUUUAGGUAAUGCCGCAACUCACUCAUGCUCAGGAUGCCUUCAGUUUUGACCAGCUCCCAUCAUUGAGACACACCUCCUCCCUCCCUCCCAACAUCAGUUUAUUGGGCGGACUGCCAGUCCAUUACUUGUUAUUCCCCCAGCAGACUUGAAAUCACUUCCCUGUCCCACUGUCCUCUUCAUGCAGACCAGAUGCUGAGCCGUUGCUACACAAGUGGGUGUGCUACACAGGGACUGUGUGUGUGAAGGGACCACUGAGCUGCUAGUGCUUCUUGCUAGAGAAAGCAGUGUGUGUGUGUGUGUGUGUGUGUGUGUGCACUCGCACGCACGUGCCUCAUGACUUGCACAGAGGAAAAUGCAAAACAGGAGUGACAUGCAAUGCAUGGAUGCUGAAAUAUACUCGGAGUCGAGAGUGGAUUUUAUGCUCGUUAUUCAGCUCAUAGUGGUGAGGAGGAAUGGAAGUUCCCCCAGAAUUUCUGCUUUAUAUACAUUAUUUACACAGUGAGCCCCAUGUGAUUGGCUAAUUCCGGGAUUCUCCUGUAGGCCAAUCAGUUUGUGGAUUCACUUCCACCUGGAGCUGGAUUGGGUGGCUCCUGUGGACCAAUCGGACUGCUGUAUUCUGGAUCCUAUUGUUCUAGGACCAAUCAGACUGCUGCAUUCUGAAUCCUAUUGUUCUAGGACCAAUCAGACUGCUGCAUUUUGGAUCCUAUUCAACUCAGUACAUAACAGGUGCAAUGCAAUAUCUUCAGACGCUGCCCUGCAUCAAAUAACGGUAACUGCAGUAGAGCCGAUCAGCUGUAACCACAUGAAGAUGGAAAUUGCUCCCCAGGGAUGCUGCUAGCUCCAGGAGGCAAGCUUCCACGGGUGCCAAUGGGAGCUUUUGUCUCAGGACUAAUUGGAGCUUUGCAUGUAUGUGUGCAAAAAGGAAUGCGGGUGGCGCUGUGGAUUAAACCACAGAGCCUAGGGCUUGCCGAUCAGAAGGUCGGCGGUUCGAAUCCCCGCGAUGGGGUGAGCUCCCGUUGCUCGGUCCCUGCUCCUGCCAACCUAGCAGUUCCAAAGCACGUCAAAGUGCAAGUAGAUAAAUAGGUACCGCUCCGGCGGGAAGGUAAACGGCGUUUCCGUGCGCUGCUCUGGUUCGCCAGAAGCGGCUUAGUCAUGCUGGCCACAUGACCCGGAAGCUGUACGCCGGGUCCCUCGGCCAAUAAAGCAAGAUGAGCGCCGCAACCCCAGAGUCAGUCACGACUGGACCUAAUGGUCAGGGGUCCCUUUACCCUUUACCUUUACCUAUGUAUGUAUGCAUGAAGGGUGUAUCAUUGUGACUGCAGGGGAGAAGUGUUAAAACCCCUCAUCCUUGACGCCAUCUCAUCUCUGAUCAUGGUUCCCACCGCAACUUUUAUCUAGGAAGUGGGGAGCUACGCACAUUUAACAUCUAGUUUGGUCCUUCAACAGCAAAAUCACAGAAAACAUCAGUGUUACCUGCUCAGUAGAAAGAACCAGGGAAUUGGGCCCAUCUCUUAAAAACACUUAUUUUGCAGAUACUUUCCUUUUGUAUACAAAGAAUACCACAGUGAUAAUUUCCGCCCUCCCUUCCCCACAGGUGGGCGGAGUUUGCGGCACCGAGCGAGGGCUCACCUGGGCAGGUGCCUCCCACCUGUUUGGGCCAGCCUUUGAGCUGCCCUCGGUCAGGGAGGACAAUGGCCAGCCGGCCGGGGUUGGGGCAAAGGCCAAAGAAAGGAGGCUGACCCCUUUGUCCAGGCCUCUUUUGGUUUUCUUCCUUCCCGGAAGUUUCCAGAAUGUUGCUUAUUAUUUGAAAGAGGAGCAGAUUGUAAACCUCUGUUGAGUAGGGAAUCAGCUUCAAGUCUCUCGAUUUUCUUGCUCUCAGCCGGCUCAGCCUUCUCUUCCUUCACUAUUAGAUUAUUUUUAUGCUGCAAAAACAGCUGCCCUUGCAAGUUGCCGCUUGCUAGAGACCCAUAUUUCUCAGACCUGUUCAGCCAUACCAUACACCAAAAAGGAUUGCUGAGGGUGAUAAGUCACCUCCCUGCCGCCUUCUCAUUAUGGAGACAAAUCCACAAUUUAGACGCAUCCCUGUGCAACCGGCGAUAAUUCUGUCACUGAGGCUUUGGCUAUUCGGAGUUGCUUUUGUCACUGAAUCUCAGUUUAAAAUAAAGUCACCAGACAAAAAUCUGGUUAACUUCUGGUGCUUAAGGGAAGAAAAAAAAACGUUAACCUAAUUAUACCUUACAGUUUGGAUCAGUAUUGUGCUUCUGGUGGGGUUUUUCAAAUUAAAAAACAAAACAUAUUGCCAAAAAAAAAUGUCCAUCUGUUCACCCGAACUGCCCCACUAGUUUGCCAUCUUGGCAGCCAUUUUGGCAGCCACCAACAAUUCACUCUAGUUUCAGAUACAGUCUGCUCACAAAAUUUUCUUCAGUACAGUAUUUGUUUUAGUCGGUGGGGAAAAUUGACAAAUAUAUUCUGGUUUUUUUAACCAAAAGCAUUUUUAUUAGGAAUUAUAGGUACCAACAUUCUGAAAGAUCAGAAAAGAUUUCUUAUGUAUGGGACAACAGCUGCUUGGAUGCUACUGGCCCAGAGAUGGAAAGAAGGAAAAGUCCACACCAGAGAGGAAUGGCAAGUUAAGCUGAUGUACUAUGCUGAAAUGACAAAACUGACUGGAAAACUCAGGAACCAAGAAGACCAAGAAAACUGUUAAGAAUAGGAAAAAUUUAUAAGCUGUUUAGGAGACCACUGCAAGCAGAUGGAAACAUUAGCAGGAUUUUAAUUUCACUUGUAAGAAAUACUAUGGAUAAUAUGGAUUGAUAUAAAAUAUAAAUUAUGGAAUAAUAUGCAGUUAUAAAAGCUGAGAAUAAGACCCACGGAGGGAAGGAAGUUGUGAGAUUCAGA